CAUGACUCAAUAGGUAACCAAAUCUCGAGGUGAACUCGUGGUUCACAAGCAUAGCUCACGUGUAAAUCUCAUAGGGAAAGUCUCACUGAACUACUCCCCGAGACCGCCUGCGGACAGCACACUGACCAUCCAGACAGCACACUGACUGUCUCUCUAGUGACCAACCUCCGGAGUGCACAGCUUGUGGGGAGCGACCCCUCCAAGCGCAGACAGGCUAUGUGAGCAGGAUCAACUCACGAACAGCAGCAACCUACCCUCUAAGGGUAAUCUCAUCAUGGAAUCAAGGUAUACUUGUACCCAAUCUCAUAGUGUCUCAACUACACUAAUGUUCUCAUAUCAAGGUCAUCAACCAUCAUAUGCCACUCAUCAUAGUUUUCUAACUAGAUGCCACUCGUCAUUUAGACUCAUCAUCAACACUAGUUACAUCAUACUAGUUCUUUAGCAACAUAAGCAUUAAUCAUCUCACAUAGGGUCUAGGUCUUUAUCAUAGGGUUUUCAUCAUAUAAUCAUCAUGCAUACUAGAUCAUGAACCAACCAAGCAAGAUAUAUUGAGCUACUAGCAUGCAAUUAUAAGCAACAAUAUCCACCUCUAGCCCUAUAUGAAUAUGCACAAUAUGCAAUUAGAUCAACUUUUAAAACGUAGACAUAGAAGGUAGCCCGGUUGCUUCGGGAUGGUCACCACCCACCUUGUGGUAGUACCGUAGAGCUAAGAAACUCAGCGUCACGGUCCACGUGCGCCGCUUCAACACGUUGGAUCAAAACGAACCCUAGAGCACCCAAAUCGGCUAUAUCUCCGCACUCGCUCGACGGAUCGACGAACCGUCUUCGCCUACGCGUUUGGGAGCAUAGAAAUUAGGUUUCUAACCCAUCAAAAGAGAUCAAUCCCUCAUAUUUCCAAAAAUUUCAAAAUCAAGCCCUAGGAUUAGCACCCAUGGGAAACAAUGGUUUCUAGCUUCAUUGUGAGCUAAAUCCAUAUUCUCUAAGCUCAUUAGGUUCCAUUUGAACCAUCAAAACCAACAAAAAGCUACAAACUCUAGAAAUCUCAUGUUUAGGGUUUAGGCUUAUGUCACGCCCCGGGACCGGCGGAGGCCCUCCCGGUAGCGUGCCCAGACCCGCCAUAUGUCUACACAUAUAAGGCGUCUACGAUAAAAGCGGAAGUAAAAGCAAGAGAUAGAACAAAUAUAAGAAAUGAAAUAACUAGCAACUAGAGAUAUCAGAGCAAGUAAAGUUCUAUCAUCUACACCAAAGUAGAGAAAUAAAGCUAGUCGAACAAAGAUAACCAUAAGUAGUACAAUAACUGUCUCUAGUACAAAAAUGGUGGUCUCUAUACAUAAACGGGUACAACUCUCAACCUCUCACAAAAAAAAAACACGAGAGGUAGACCACCUAUCGAACGAUCCCUCGGUAAGCGCGCUAGCCCGAGGCGAUACCCUUUCCGCGAUCCCUGGCCUCACCCUGAGUGGAAGGCUCUGAAAAACAUCGAGAAAAAGAGGGCGUGAGAACUAUAAUUUAUAGUCCCCAGUGGGCAAUUACUGACCUCAGCUCCUGCUCCACUAGGCCCCAAAAAUAAGGGUAAGCAACGAUAACAAUAAGAAGCAAUAAAAAGGAGCAUGUAAUAAACUGCUGAAAGAGAGAGAGAGCAUAAGUAAAAUGCUAUACUACUAUAUCCCUCAUAAGCACGAUGUCAAACUGUUGUAUAUCUAUUCUAUCAUAAAGAAAAGUAACCAAUGGCAAUAGUUUACUGUUACAACCUUUUAUUCAUACAUGAUGUAUAAGCUCUAUCAUGGCAACCAAGCAUACUGUGAUGAAAUAGGUAACUGUCAAGUAUACUACAUGUCUCAACACUAUGCUAAAAGCAUAUAAAUGUAACUCAACUACUAAACCUAUCUAGUAGUGAUUAUCCAUUCUCAACACCGUAUCGAUUUCCAUUUCCAAUUAAGGACCUACCAAAGGUAGUCCAGCUUGUGCCGCCUAAGUGCAUGUGGUAGCCCAACAUCCCUACUCUUGGAAUGUGUUUGUCCCACUCGACCCCGUAGGCUUCUCAAUAUCGCACGAGCGAACAUAAGUCGCGUAGGCUAACUCCGGAGUGCCGGCUUGUAGGGAGCGACCCUCACAAGCAUGUGCGAAUGAGCACAAAUGGCAAGCAAGCAAAGUCCAAGUCUCAAGUAUCCAAUCCUCAUGUCUCUAACAUGGUAUAGUCACUAGCAUCCCAAAGAUCUAGUUUAUGUCACAAUGUGAAGGUUCAACCUUUGCUACGCCUAGUGCCCCUUGAUGACACUUAGGCAAUUGAUGUUCAAUAUGUAUUCUAAAUCCCUUGAUGGCCCUAUCCACUAGGUUCUCACAUGUCCCGAGCUCAAUGCCGCUUGAUGACAUUAGCUCUCUAAUUCACAUACCUUCUAAAUGACAAUCUUGUCAAUUUUCAUGUCACAAGUAAAUGUAGGUUUACAUGCAUGAAUCCGAACUCAUUUAUACUAUAGAAGCAUGAUACCACGUCUCAUAUAGAAUGCUAAAUGCAACUAUGGCCUAAUAAGCUACUCUCUACUACAUAGAGGUCCAAAAUUUCAUCAUAUAUAACAUAGGCCUUUUAAGCAUUCUAAAAUUCACAAUAAAUACAUAUAACAAGAAUAUGCAUGCUUUUUCAUUUAACAACACUUAAUUAAGCACAAAUGAGAAUUUCUCAUUGUGUGGCUAGGUCAAACCCACCGAACCGUCGCGUAGGGUCUCGUUUCGCCGAACCAAGUUGUCCCCGAGUCUCAAAAUACCCUAAAAGUAAUCAGCGAAGAGAUACGAGGGCAUUACGACCAUCAUAUAAUAUCAAAUAUUAACCUAGGAGCAAAAA
rnacentral:lncRNA from 1 species